GGAGCAACAUGAAACUCAGAGUACUAGCAUUUUUGCUGAAAACUUAAGAUUGUUUAGCCCUUUUGAUACCUAUUGGCAUUUUUGCUGAAAAUUUAAGAUUAACUCUUUUGAUACCUACUCUCAUGACAUCGCUUGUAGUUGUAAAAGUAUGAACUUCCUAUUUUAAUGUGAUCUAAAUUAAAACUUUCUGUCAAAAAAAUUAAUUGAAGCAAAGGAAGUAUAUGCUAACAGAAAUAUGGUGACAAAAGAGUUGAAAUUUACCCCUCUUUCCAUAGAACACUAUCAUUAAGGGGUUUCUUAUGAUAUUAACAAACAAUCUGAUCUGUACACUGUAUUUCCCCUGAUUUGUCUUUCUUAUGUUAUUAACCUCUGGUUAACAGAAUUAAGUUAUUUGAUGAAAUAAAGAAUUUUUAAAUAUGCAACAUUAUUAACUAUAUAAUUGUUCUUUGACAAUUUUUAACUUACAAUUCUAAUAAUUGUUUUUCUUUUAAAUACUUUCCUAAACUUAAAAUUGUUUAAUGUUAAUUUUUUAAAAUAUUUAUUUCAUCCAUUAGUUUUAAAAUGUUCUGGUAUUUUCUAUUGGAAGUUAAAUGCUUUUUUGAAAUGUCACAAACUUGAUUGUUUCCUUUUAUUUGCAAGCAUAAAUAAAAUGUUUUUUUU
rnacentral:lncRNA from 1 species